rnacentral:rRNA from 1 species
CAAUGGUAGGAGAGCGUUCUAAGGGCGUUGAAGCAUGAUCGUAAGGACAUGUGGAGCGCUUAGAAGUGAGAAUGCCGGUGUGAGUAGCGAAAGACAGGUGAGAAUCCCGUCCACCGAUUGACUAAGGUUUCCAGAGGAAGGCUCGUCCGCUCUGGGUUAGUCGGGUCCUAAGCUGAGGCCGACAGGCGUAGGCGAUGGAUAACAGGUUGAUAUUCCUGUACCACCUAUAAUCGUUUUAAUCGAUGGGGGGGACGCAGUAGGAUAGGCGAAGCGUGCGAUUGGAUUGCACGUCUAAGCAGUAAGGCUGAGUAUUAGGCAAAUCCGGUACUCGUUAAGGCUGAGCUGUGAUGGGGAGAAGACAUUGAGUCUUCGAGUCGUUGAUUUCACACUGCCGAGAAAAGCCUCUAGAUAGAAAAUAGGUGCCCGUACCGCAAACCGACACAGGUAGUCAAGAUGAGAAUUCUAAGGUGAGCGAGCGAACUCUCGUUAAGGAACUCGGCAAAAUGACCCCGUAACUUCGGGAGAAGGGGUGCUCUUUAGGGUUAACGCCCAGAAGAGCCGCAGUGAAUAGGCCCAAGCGACUGUUUAUCAAAAACACAGGUCUCUGCUAAACCGUAAGGUGAUGUAUAGGGGCUGACGCCUGCCCGGUGCUGGAAGGUUAAGAGGAGUGGUUAGCUUCUGCGAAGCUACGAAUCGAAGCCCCAGUAAACGGCGGCCGUAACUAUAACGGUCCUAAGGUAGCGAAAUUCCUUGUCGGGUAAGUUCCGACCCGCACGAAAGGCGUAACGAUUUGGGCACUGUCUCAACGAGAGACUCGGUGAAAUCAUAGUACCUGUGAAGAUGCAGGUUACCCGCGACAGGACGGAAAGACCCCGUGGAGCUUUACUGUAGCCUGAUAUUGAAAUUCGGCACAGCUUGUACAGGAUAGGUAGGAGCCUUUGAAACGUGAGCGCUAGCUUACGUGGAGGCGCUGGUGGGAUACUACCCUAGCUGUGUUGGCUUUCUAACCCGCACCACUUAUCGUGGUGGGAGACAGUGUCAGGCGGGCAGUUUGACUGGGGCGGUCGCCUCCUAAAAGGUAACGGAGGCGCUCAAAGGUUCCCUCAGAAUGGUUGGAAAUCAUUCAUAGAGUGUAAAGGCAUAAGGGAGCUUGACUGCGAGACCUACAAGUCGAGCAGGGUCGAAAGACGGACUUAGUGAUCCGGUGGUUCCGCAUGGAAGGGCCAUCGCUCAACGGAUAAAAGCUACCCCGGGGAUAACAGGCUUAUCUCCCCCAAGAGUUCACAUCGACGGGGAGGUUUGGCACCUCGAUGUCGGCUCAUCGCAUCCUGGGGCUGUAGUCGGUCCCAAGGGUUGGGCUGUUCGCCCAUUAAAGCGGUACGCGAGCUGGGUUCAGAACGUCGUGAGACAGUUCGGUCCCUAUCCGUCGUGGGCGUAGGAAAUUUGAGAGGAGCUGUCCUUAGUACGAGAGGACCGGGAUGGACAUACCUCUGGUGUACCAGUUGUCGUGCCAACGGCAUAGCUGGGUAGCUAUGUGUGGACGGGAUAAGUGCUGAAAGCAUCUAAGCAUGAAGCCCCCCUCAAGAUGAGAUUUCCCAACUUCGGUUAUAAGAUCCCUCAAAGAUGAUGAGGUUAAUAGGUUCGAGGUGGAAGCAUGGUGACAUGUGGAGCUGACGAAUACUAAUCGAUCGAAGACUUAAUCAA